CAAGUCUUUGGUGAUGAAAAGAAAUAUUGGCUACUUCCAAUAUUUUCAAGCUUGGGUGAUGGUUGCAGUUUUCCAACUCGCCUUGUGGGGAUGGAUCCAGAACAAGCUUCUGUUACAAACCAGAAUGAGUAUGCCAGAAGUGGCUCAAAUCAGCCUUUUCCUAUCAAACCACUUAGUGAAUCAAAAAACCGCUUGUUGGACAGUGAAUCUCAGUGGCUGGAGAAUGGAGCUGAAGAAGGCAUCAUCAAAUCAGGUGUAUGAAAACAUUAUAGACUGGUAUUUUCAAUUUUCAUUUGCAAGGAAAUGAUCAGUGGAAUGAAAUAACUGAAGUAUAACAGAAGAUAUAUUUUUUAAAACGGAAAGCCUUUGUACAGUUCCUGGGAUUUCACAGAAGCACUACUCCAGAGCAGAACGAUGCCUUAAUCUUAAGUGUCCAUUUGUGCAGCAUUGACUUAGAGCUACAAAAGUGACUUAAUGUUAUUCUGGAAAUAAUACUUACCUGUUAUGAGAUGCUAUAAUAUGAGCUGUCAUCACAUUUUAACAUGCAUAUGUAUUUUUUGAUA
rnacentral:sRNA from 1 species